rnacentral:rRNA from 1 species
UACGUAGAUCCCGAGCGUUAUCCGGAAUUAUUGGGCGUAAAGAGCAUGUAGGCGGUUUGUUAAGUCUGAUGUGAAAGCUAGAGGCCUAACCUCUAAAUUGCAUUGGAUACUGGCAAACUAGAAUACUGGAGAGGUAAGUGGAAUUCCAUGUGUAGCGGUGGAAUGCGUAGAUAUAUGGAGGAACACCAAUGGCGAAGGCAGCUUACUGGACAGUUAUUGACGCUGAGAUGCGAAAGCGUGGGGAGCAAACAGG